CGGGUCCUUCGGGACUAGUGGCGGACGGGUGAGUAACGCGUGGGAACGUGCCCCUUGGUACGGAAUAGCCCCGGGAAACUGGGAGUAAUACCGUAUGUGGUCGAGAGUCGAAAGAUUUAUCGCCAAGGGAUCGGCCCGCGUUGGAUUAGGUAGUUGGUGGGGUAAUGGCCUACCAAGCCGACGAUCCAUAGCUGGUUUGAGAGGAUGAUCAGCCACACUGGGACUGAGACACGGCCCAGACUCCUACGGGAGGCAGCAGUGGGGAAUCUUAGACAAUGGGGGAAACCCUGAUCUAGCCAUGCCGCGUGAUCGAUGAAGGCCUUAGGGUUGUAAAGAUCUUUCAGGUGGGAAGAUAAUGACUGUACCACCAGAAGAAGCCCCGGCUAACUCCGUGCCAGCAGCCGCGGUAAUACGGAGGGGGCUAGCGUUAUUCGGAAUUACUGGGCGUAAAGCGCACGUAGGCGGACCAGAAAGUCAGAGGUGAAAGCCCGGGGCUCAAC
rnacentral:rRNA from 1 species